rnacentral:rRNA from 1 species
UACGGGGGGGGCAAGCGUUGUUCGGAAUUACUGGGCGUAAAGGGCUCGUAGGCGGCCAACUAAGUCAGACGUGAAAUCCCUCGGCUUAACCGGGGAACUGCGUCUGAUACUGGAUGGCUUGAAUCCGGGAGAGGGAUGCGGAAUUCCAGGUGUAGCGGUGAAAUGCGUAGAUAUCUGGAGGAACACCGGUGGCGAAGGCGGCGUCCUGGACCAAUACUGACACUGAUGAGCGAAAGCCAGGGGAGCAAACGGG